CCCUUAGAUGUUCUGGGCUGCACACGUGCUACACUGGCAGGUUCAGCGAGCUUCAUGCCCUGAUCUGAAAGGAAUGGGAAAUCUUUUCAAAACCUGCCGUGCUUGGGAUAGAUGUUUGCAAUUAUUCAUCUUCAACGAGGAUUGCCUUGUAAGCGCACGUCAUCAGCGUGCAUUGAAUACGUCCCUGCCCUUUGUACACACCGCCCGUCGCUCCUACCGAUUGAGUGGUCCGGUGAGGCUUUGGGAUCUGAGCAAAAAGAGCGUUUCGCUCGUUUGGCUCGGAAAACUCAGUCGAACCUUAUCAUUUAGAGGAAGGAGAAGUCGUAACA
rnacentral:rRNA from 1 species